AGAGUUUGAUCCUGGCUCAGAACGAACGUUGGCGGCGUGCUUAACACAUGCAAGUCGAACGAGAACGGUUCCUUCGGGAGCCAAGUAAAGUGGCGCACGGGUGAGUAACGCGUAGAUAACCUGUCCAGGUGUAUGGGAUAGCCCUUCGAAAGGGGGAUUAAUACCGUAUACGUUAGUCUGUUAUAAGGCAGAUUAAGAAAGGUGGCCUCUAUUUAUAAGCUAUCGCAUUUGGAGGGGUCUGCGUACCAUUAGUUUGUUGGUGGGGUAAUGGCCUACCAAGACUUCGAUGGUUAGCGGGUCUGAGAGGAUGAUCCGUCACACUGGCACUGAAACACGGGCCAGACUCCUACGGGAGGCAGCAGUGAGGAAUAUUGCGCAAUGGGGGAAACCCUGACGCAGCGACGCCGCGUGGGUGAGGAAGGCUUUCGGGUCGUAAAGCCCUGUCAGGUGGGAAGAAAUGUGUAUAGGUUAAUACCUUAUGCACUUGACGGUACCACCAAAGGAAGCACCGGCUAACUCCGUGCCAGCAGCCGCGGUAAUACGGAGGGUGCAAACGUUGUUCGGAAUCACUGGGCGUAAAGGGCGCGCAGGCGGUUUGAUUAGUCAGAUGUGAAAGCCCACGGCUUAACCGUGGAAGUGCAUUUGAAACUGUCAGACUUGAGUACCAGA
rnacentral:rRNA from 1 species